UGCUAAUUCGCUUCACUCUCUGAAAGUCUGAAGCUUUCCACUUUUCUCCAAUGGCAGACGAAGCCAACAGAACCGCAAGUCCUUUCUAUUCUCACUCCCCCUCUCUUUCCACCUGUCAAAGUUUCAGUCUUUUGACAUCCUUGUUUCUUCUGUACAUGACAAGAGAGACUGAUAAAAAACUCAUUUGAAGAUCGAAGUUGUCAACUUUUUUAAGCAUACAAUUUGAUUUGAUUGUUAUUUGGACAAAAAGAACAGGCUUUUAUAGAGCUACAAGACCGCAUGAUUGAGACCACUUCCAAAUUCAAGCAGGUCCAGAACCAGAUACGAACCAAGGAGGGAGAAAAGAAGCGUGCUUUCUUAACCUUGGAGGAGCUGCGGCAAGUUCCUGAUGAUACAAAUACAUACAAAUCUAUAGGCAUGCGUAGGCACUUGCUGUCCCACAGGAAUGCAUUAGCACAUUAUGGCUGAGGUCACAUCUUUAAUUAAUAAAGUGAACCUCUAAUGGUUAUUUUGGAUUAUAUGUGCUUCUCUGUAUUUGUGGAUGGGUUUCUAAUUUGACAUUCAUCUCUUUGUUGUUUCCCAGGGAGAACGUGAGUGGUGCAAAGGUCAAAUGAUUUAGACUGAAUCGUGUUUUCCGGGCUGUCUGAAUUGAUGGCAGGUUGUUAUGAACUCAUGCUUUCUUUGUCACAUGGUGGUCAGGUUUGCCUUGGAGCCAAAGUCAGUUUUAAUGAGUGAACAAGAGCAGAAACUCAAGGAUAGGGAGACCGCAAUAUCCUCACUACAGAGGCAAAUCCCUUUCCCACCUCCUCUCCUCUCUCUCUCACGCACAGACAUACUCACAUUGCGAUAAAACCAUCCAUUUAUUUCUAUAAAUGCAUGUCCAAACCAGCUCUAUUUCCAUGUUGCCUGGGACUUGUUUCUUCUUUUCAUCUGCUGUAUCUUCCCAAUCUAUUUCAGAGUUAUUGUUUGUUAAAAUCAUUAUGUAUUUCACUUUCUUCUUGGCUUAUCUUAUAUUUGAUAUCAGAUGUACUGCUAUAUUACUUUUUCCCUUCUUGCAUGACAGUUAUUAGUCCAUGAGUUUAA